UACGGGGGGGGCAAGCGUUGUUCGGAAUUACUGGGCGUAAAGGGUUCGUAGGUGGCCAACUCAGUCAGACGUGAAAUCCCUCGGCUCAACCGAGGAACUGCGUCCGAUACUGGUGGGCUUGAAUCCGGGAGAGGGAUGUGGAAGUUCCAGGUGUAGCGGUGAAAUGCGUAGAUAUCUGGAGGAACACCGGUGGCGAAGGCGGCAUCCUGGACCGGUAUUGACGCUGAGGCGCGAAAGCUAGGGGAGCAAACGGGG
rnacentral:rRNA from 1 species